GUGAACCACGCGGCGCUGACCGCACUUGUGGAUCAUUGGAGGCCCGAGACUCACUCGUUCCACCUUCCAUGUGGGGAGAUGACAAUGACCCUAGAGGACAUGGCUAUGAUAAGCGGCCUUCCUAUCAACGGACAAGUUGUUACCGGCCGUGUCAGUGCCGUUAAUUGGCGAGAACGGACUGGCAAUUUAAUUGGUGUUGAGCCCGAUCCCCCUCUGCCAGGCAAGGCCAAUACCUCGAAAGUGAGGCAUUCUUGGCUAAAACAAGUCAGAGGAGAAAACAAUCCAUGCCCUCAGGGUGCCAAUGACGUGUUUGUGCAGCAGUACGCGCGGGCCUAUCUUUGGUAUGUACUAACCAAGGUAGUUUUCUCAGACGCAACUGGGAACUCAGCCCUCUGGAUGUUCCUGGAGCUACUCAAUAACUGGGAUACCCAGUAUAGCUGGGGUUCGGCCGCACUAGCAUACUUGUAUCGUCAGGUAAGAGAUAUUUGCAACCAUUUAUCUUGCAAUUGUCUUGCGCCUCCAUAUCUAACCUGUUUGUUUGACUGCAGCUUGACAUGGCGUGUCGCAGGCAAGGAGAUACAUCCUCAUUGGCUGGGUUUGUUUGGAGCCUAUCCGUGUGGAUGUGGGAGCGGAUCCCGGUUGGACGGCCCGAUUUCAAGAACCCCGAACACCCAAACCCACGGGGUAAUCAUGACGGGGCGCAUGAUGUUGAUCCAUAUCGGCGCCCUACGCUUGCGUACUAUUGGGAACGGGCGACCGUGUACACAGGAAGCUCGCAUGUGCGAUACAAGUGCUAUAUGA
rnacentral:rRNA from 1 species